rnacentral:rRNA from 1 species
GAUGAACGCUGGCGGCGUGCCUAAUACAUGCAAGUCGAGCGAACAGACGAGGAGCUUGCUCCUCUGACGUUAGCGGCGGACGGGUGAGUAACACGUGGAUAACCUACCUAUAAGACUGGGAUAACUUCGGGAAACCGGAGCUAAUACCGGAUAAUAUAUUGAACCGCAUGGUUCAAUAGUGAAAGACGGUUUUGCUGCCACUUAUAGAUGGAUCCGCGCCGCAUUAGCUAGUUGGUAAGGUAACGGCUUACCAAGGCGACGAUGCGUAGCCGACCUGAGAGGGUGAUCGGCCACACUGGAACUGAGACACGGUCCAGACUCCUACGGGAGGCAGCAGUAGGGAAUCUUCCGCAAAGGGCGAAAGCCUGACGGAGCAACGCCGCGUGAGUGAUGAAGGUCUUCGGAUCGUAAAACUCUGUUAUUAGGGAAGAACAAAUGUGUAAGUAACUAUGCACGUCUUGACGGUACCUAAUCAGAAAGCCACGGCUAACUACGUG